rnacentral:rRNA from 1 species
AGGACGAACGCUGGCGGCGUGCUUAACACAUGCAAGUGGAGCGACGAACCAGGGCUUGCCCUGGGGCAGAGCCGCGAACGGGUGAGUAACACGUGGGUUACCUGCCCCGAUGACCGGGACAACCCGAGGAAACUCGGGCUAAUACCGGAUGUGCCCGCAAGGGGAAAGGAAGCUUCGGCCUCCGCAUCGGGAUGGGCCCGCGGCCCAUUAGCUUGUUGGUGAGGUAACGGCUCACCAAGGCUUCGAUGGGUAGCUGGUCUGAGAGGACGAUCAGCCACACUGGGACUGAGACACGGCCCAGACUCCUACGGGAGGCAGCAGUGGGGAAUCUUGCGCAAUGCGCGAAAGCGUGACGCAGCAACGCCGCGUGGGGGAAGAAGGCUUUCGGGUUGUAAACCCCUUUCAGUUGGGACGAAGCUCCGCCGGUGAAUAGCCGGCUGGGGUGACGGUACCUUCAGAAGAAGCACCGGCUAACUACGUGCCAGCAGCCGC